rnacentral:rRNA from 1 species
AUUGAACGCUGGCGGCAGGCCUAACACAUGCAAGUCGAACGAGUGGCGGACGGGUGAGUAGUGUCUGGGAAACUGCCCGAUGGAGGGGGGUAACUACUGGAAACGGUAGCUAAUACCGCAUACCAUCGGAUGUGCCCAGAUGGGAGUAGCUAGUAGGUGGGGUAACGGCUCACCUAGGCGACGAUCCCUAGCUGGUCUGAGAGGGUGACCGGCCACACUGGGACUGAGACACGGUCCAGACUCCUACGGGAGGCAGCAGUGGGGAAUAUUGCACAAUGGGCGCAAGUCUGAUGCAGCCAUGCCGCGUGUAUGAAGAAGGUCUUCGGGUUGUAAAGUACUUUUAGCGGGGAGGCGUUACUCGCACAAGAAGCACCGGCUAACUCCGUGCCAGCCGCCGCGGUAAUAC